CUGGCUCAGACGAACGCUGGUAGCGUGGAUUAGGCAUGCAAGUCGAACGGGAUCCGGGAGGUAGCAAUACCUUCUGGUGAGAGUGGCGGAUUGGGGAGGAACACGUGAGCAACCUGCCCUUGAGUUGGGGAAAACCGUUGGAAACGACGGCUAAUACCGGAUGUGGCGCCCGGUGACAUCACUGGAGCGCUAAAGGGGGCCGCAAGGCUCUCGCUCGAGGAGGGGCUCGCGCACCAUCAGCUUGUUGGCGGGUAACGGCCCACCAAGGCCUACGGUUAGCUGGUCUGAGAGGAUGACCAGCCCCACUGGGACUGAGAUACUGCCCAGACUCCUACGGGAGGCUGCAGUCGAGGAUCAUUUGCAAUGGGCGAAAGCCUGACAAUGCGACGCUGCGUGGAAGGAUGAAGGCCUUCGAGUUGUAAACUCCUGUCAUGGGGGAACAGGCGAGGGGAGCUAAUACCUCCCUUAGUUGAGUGUACCCCAAGAGGAAGGGACGGCUAACUCUGUGCCAGCCGCUGC
rnacentral:rRNA from 1 species